ACUUAUUAAAACAUCCUGGAUGAUCUUGGAAGCUAAGCAGGGUUAGACCUGGUUAGUACUUGGAUGGGAGGCCACCAGGGAAUAUAGGUGCUAGGUU
rnacentral:rRNA from 1 species